rnacentral:rRNA from 1 species
UACGUAGGGUGCGAGCGUUAAUCGGAAUUACUGGGCGUAAAGCGUGCGCAGGCGGUUCGCUAAGACCGACUGUGAAAUCCCCGGGCUUAACCUGGGAACUGCAUUGGUGACUGGCGGGCUAGAGUAUGGCAGGAGGGGGGUAGAAUUCCACGUGUAGCAGUGAAAUGCGUAGAGAUGUGGAGGAAUACCGAUGGCGAAGGCAGCCCCCUGGGCCAAUACUGACGCUCAUGCACGAAAGCGUGGGGAGCAAACAGG